GUUGGACUCUAGGUUGGCAGCAUCCAAGAGUCAUUUUUGCUGUUAUUUCCAGUGUGUUUACUUGGGAUGUUUAUAUUCUACAUAGGAAAGAGACUACCCAACACCACCAGAACACUGGCCAAUGUGAUGGUAAAGGCUACUUUCAAACUUCUCUCUGACUGUCCAUGUGAACAUUUCUUUUGCUCUGUAAUCUACUGCACAGGAAGCUUGCACCAAGUCCUGAUGCCUCCACAUCCAAAGUACAGCUCAAGUACUUCCUGACUCCCUGGACUCCAUCACAGGUCCUGGCACACACUUUCUUCCUCUCGAUGGCACUGACAAUUUGCUGUGUGAUGGCUUGCUCCCAACCUUGCUUUUCAUGAGGAAAACGCUACCCAAUCAAGCACAAUCAAGCAAAACAUUAAUGUGACUGUGCCGUUCUUCUAAAUUAAAAUCUUUC